AGCGAACGCUGGCGGCAGGCCUAACACAUGCAAGUCGAACGAACCUUUCGGGGUUAGUGGCGGACGGGUGAGUAACACGUGGGAACGUGCCUUUAGGUUCGGAAUAACUCAGGGAAACUUGUGCUAAUACCGAAUGUGCCCUUCGGGGGAAAGAUUUAUCGCCUUUAGAGCGGCCCGCGUCUGAUUAGCUAGUUGGUUGAGGUAAUGGCUCACCAAGGCGACGAUCAGUAGCUGGUCUGAGAGGAGGAUCAGCCACAUUGGGGCUGAGACACGGCCCAAACUCCUACGGGAGGCAGCAGUGGGGGAUCUUGCGCAAUGGGCGAAAGCCUGACGCAGCCAUGCCGCGUGAAUGAUGAAGGUCUUAGGAUUGUAAAAUUCUUUCACCGGGGACGAUAAUGACGGUACCCGGAGAAGAAGCCCCGGCUAACUUCGUG
rnacentral:rRNA from 1 species